AUUGAACGCUGGCGGCAUGCUUUACACAUGCAAGUCGAGCGGCAGCACGGGGGCAACCUGGUGGCGAGUGGCGAACGGGUGAGUAAUACAUCGGAACGUGCCCAAUCGUGGGGGAUAACGUAGCGAAAGUUACGCUAAUACCGCAUACGAUCUACGGAUGAAAGCGGGGGAUCGCAAGACCUCGCGCGAGUGGAGCGGCCGAUGUCAGAUUAGGUAGUUGGUGGGGUAAAGGCUCACCAAGCCAACGAUCUGUAGCUGGUCUGAGAGGACGACCAGCCACACUGGAACUGAGACACGGUCCAGACUCCUACGGGAGGCAGCAGUGGGGAAUUUUGGACAAUGGGCGCAAGCCUGAUCCAGCCAUUCCGCGUGCAGGAUGAAGGCCUCGGUUGUAACUAGCUUUGUACGGUAACGAAACGGACGAGCUCUAAUACAGUUGUCUAAUGACGGUACCGUAA
rnacentral:rRNA from 1 species